rnacentral:rRNA from 1 species
AUUGAACGCUGGCGGCAUGCCUUACACAUGCAAGUCGAACGGUAACAGGUCUUCGGAUGCUGACGAGUGGCGAACGGGUGAGUAAUACAUCGGAACGUGCCUAGUAGUGGGGGAUAACUACUCGAAAGAGUGGCUAAUACCGCAUGAGAUCUACGGAUGAAAGCAGGGGAUCGCAAGACCUUGUGCUACUAGAGCGGCCGAUGGCAGAUUAGGUAGUUGGUGGGAUAAAAGCUUACCAAGCCGACGAUCUGUAGCUGGUCUGAGAGGACGAUCAGCCACACUGGGACUGAGACACGGCCCAGACUCCUACGGGAGGCAGCAGUGGGGAAUUUUGGACAAUGGGCGCAAGCCUGAUCCAGCAAUGCCGCGUGCAGGAUGAAGGCCUUCAGGUUGUAAACUGCUUUUGUACAGAACGAAAAGCCCUGGGUUAAUACCCUGGGGUCAUGACGGUACCGUAAGAAUAAGCACCGGCUAACUACGUGCCAGCAGCCGCAGUAAGAC